AUAUGAAGAUUCUGAUUGCUGAUUGCUUUGUUGUUUGUUUCUACUCUUAAUUCAAGUAACAAAAAUAUUACGUAAAAUGUCAAUCUAUUUAGUGUUUGUACUUAGAAGAACCUACCUCGUGGAUCAAAUUGACUUUGGAUGGCAAACUUUUAAUUGCCAAUUGCUUCGCCAGACGCCGGCUGGACUGCUUAAUAGAUUGUCUGGUAGUAAGUCUUAGACUCUUAGUAGUGGGGUGCCCAUUUUAUGAUUGUAACUUUCCCAGACUUACGUCUUCUGUAUGCGAGUUUCUAUUCAAGAGUCAAACAGAGUCCCUCCAAACUUACUUGUGUCUCGUCUAUCUGCCACAGAAUCUUGAGCCCAACUUCUUACGUCAAACUGUCAAAGUGUCUGGUUGGCCCAACCCACUUGUGAAUGCAACUCAUCAACGAUUCAUGCCAAACUUUUUUCUCAUUCACUCUAGGAAGAGGGGUUCGCUGUUUCAACUUCACCAGUCAAUUGGUGUAAACGUGAUGUUUCUAUCUCUGAGGCCUUUUAAACUAAAAGACGAAAGGGGGGAACAAACGGAAACGUCCGUUAUAGACAGAACUAUAAGGGGGGCCAUAUCGUAAACUGACACCGAUCGACCAUUGCGUGACGUACACAACCGCCAGCUGUUAUUGUGGAAAACUUGAAAAGAAAAAAGACCAAGAAAGAAUUCUUCCCCCUCGACGAAUUAUUUCCAUGGCUUGUCCAUUUCUUAUUUUUUUAAAAAGAUAAUGCCUUGACUUUUUACAGUCGUGUGUUGUCUUGGCCAUCUGGACACGCGGGCAGGAAUUUAUGAAAGAAUAAAUUAGAAUCGAAAUGA